UCACGGAUUAAUGUUUCUGCCUCUGGUUCACUUCAUUCCGAGAAAUAACACUGAUUAGUUCCUGUUCUCAGCCAAUUGCAAAGCUGCUCUCUUCCCUGUCCCACCUACCACUUCCUCUUCUCUGUCUCUUUCACCCUCACGGUACUUCCUGUAUCUGUACUCCCAGACCUAGGCUAACGUGGUGGGUAAGUUGCACGAUCUCUAAUGCGGUUUGAAUCGUUUGCCGGCCACCCACGUGUUCAGACUGUACGUGGCGGAGAGCGGUGUUCCCGGGAUGGACUCGGGCCGUGGGGCUGUUGAAUUCGGAACGCGGGGGUCACCCCGUUAGGUGGGGCCGAAGGCUGAAAAUGGAAUUGAUUUGCUGGGAGGAAACAAUUGCCUUGGACCAAUGCCAUGUUCCAAAUACGCGGAGCAAUGAGCUGGACUUAACCAAGACCUGUAAUUUCAAACCUGGAGUGAGGACGCCAGAGUAUUCAUGUUAGGUGGUCUGGCAGGCAGGACCAUGAUCUAUCUCCCUUCCCCCAGAUGGUGGAGAGGCUGGAGACAGACUCCCCAACCCCACAAAACGAUUGGGGCUGAAGUGGAGAAAUGAAGUAAUUGAAUCUUGAAAAUGGGCUGAAAUGAAACAUCCCGGACCUGAGCACACAGGACAGUAGGGGGUGGAGUUGGGAAGCUCGGGAGCCCAUGUUGGAACACGAGGCAGUUGGGGGCAGGAACUCUAAAAACAAAACUGGAUGGUUUCUCCUCUCCCUCCUCACCCUGGAUCCCUUAUAGGAAUCACAGAUGGAUGAUUUGAGAUAAGCCUUCAAGGAAAAUGUAUCUUUCUCUCCACCGACAUCAACUGUAAGAGAGAAUUUGGGCCCUAAAGAUUAAAAGUUUUGGCCCGUCUCUGAUCUGUAUUACAAGGACUCUUCGAAGUUAUGUCCAGGAAAGUCUGUGUACUAAAAAUAGGAUUAAACUAGAAUGGAUGUGUAA